UUAUUUAGGUAAGUGCCAACGGCGGUAGACAACGUUCAUCGCAUACAUAUGAAAAGCUCAUCUUUAAGCUGGAGCUCGACUCUGUCACUUUGUAUAUUGAACGUCAUUAUCCCCGACAUGAAGAUUGAAGACGUAAGAUUAACUUGAAAAUUUGCACACACAUCAAGGUCCGUUGACAAUACGAUAAUGUUUAUAGCUUCGCUUUGAUAUCUUGACCAGAAUCAACAGGGAAGAUAAUGAAAUUGAUUAUUAAUUCGGUGUGCUAAAUGAGAAUGAUUUCUUUUUUUCAAAAUUUUAAACCACGUUCCUGCAGCCCGCCAAUGGAAACGUUCAUUAAUCUGUGGCUCGUAUAUAACCGAUAUGGUCGCAGAUAGCGCCACCUAGCGGGAAACGUCGGCAACUAGCGGCAGAGCGUCUAAUCUCGAAAUAUUACCAUUGAUCAAGUCAUGAUUAAGUUUUAUCAUUAAAUUCCGUGUUUCAACAUGCCUGUGAAGAAUAAUAGGCGUCUUCCUAAGAAAGAAGAGUUAGUUAUUGCCGUCUUCAGUGCUCGCGCGAGUGAACGUCAAAGCAGGUUAUCUCGUUUUAUCUAUGGUUUCCACGUAUGUAAGUUAUUGAAUAGAACGUAGAUAAAAAAAAAGUAACUGUUGUCUGUAGUAAAAUCGGUAAGAGAGCUAAAAUCACGCAAGCGUCUACAACAUACCAUUAUGAAUCAUUAUUUUGUUUGACAAUACGAUUAGCGAUGGGAAUGAAAUAUAAAAUUGAAUUUAGAACCUGGGUCGUCUGGACGUGCAAAAUUUUUCAUUCAAUAAGCAAAACCAUGGAGAUGGCAUUUAGUACUUACAUUAUUUAUGUACAAUGCAGAUAAAUAAAAAAAUGUAUGUUUUUCAUGGGUACAUUCGAUUGUGAUGUAACUUAGUACCGUUGUUGUUGGCUUUAUGUGGAAGCUUUCCUUUACUACAAUAGGAAUGAACGAAAAACAUCGAUGUUUGCGAUAUCGAUAUCGCAUCGCAAAAAAAGAAACGAUCGAAAAAAUAAAUUUAAAAUAUGUAAAAUUCUAAUGUGACUCAUGUUAGAAUAACGCAUCCCGUCCGAGCGUAGCUGGGAUAACCCCUUAGGCUACCACUCCCUACCCAUGCAUCAGCCCGCUGAGUUUGUCGCCGGAUCUUCUUAGCGGGUUGCGAUUCCGAUCCGGUAGUAGAUUCAUUCGCGAAGCAGCUGCUCUUGAGUUGUUAGGUCUCCUUCGGAGGCGCUCGGGCAGCUCUUAGCAAAUCCCACCCCUCCUGGCUGAGCCUUUGCUCGCCCACCUGUCCUGGUGAAACUGGAAAGGCCUCAGGGUCACCAGUAACCGUUCAAUCAUAAAAAAAGGCUACCAACGAUUAGGUAGGGGGAAAAAAUAACUCAUGAACUUGCUAGCUCGGUCGGAUAGGUACUACCAUCUUAACCAUUUCUGCUGCCAUUCACUUCUUCGUUCUAGUUCGAAAGCCCUCUCUCUUUUGCCUACCUGUACUGGUAACCUCGAGAGGCUAUACCAGCUUCACGGAACUCAGCUUGGCGACUUCGCCAACAUUAGGUCUAGCAAGAGCAGUGCUUCGCUGAGUCUACCACAAGAUCGGAAUCGCGACCCACUGAAAGGAUCCGGCGAGAAACUCAAUCUGUGAGUUAACAUUCGCGACGAACGCUUCGUCGCUGUUGACGGGUUCGACGAGAACGGUGACCGGUGCUUGUGGUACCUAAAAGCACCGAUAGUGGAUCGGGAGGAUCCGAAGUGACGUCUUACGCAAAUUUAUAUCUUGAUAUUAUCAUACAGAAGUGUGACUUUUGAGUUUUGUUACUUUUUUAGGGCAAUAAUAAAAAUAGCAUUUUUUAUAAGCUCAGUAAAAUAAAAAAGAGCGUUGAUUCCGAUCGCAUUUUUGGCACAGGCUUAUAACCGUUCCGAUUUUGAUAGGGCCUACGUUACGUUUUUGGCAACGACUCGAUACAGUGUCAUAACGGACCUAGCUAAAAUUUAAAAGAAAAUGAGACAUCAUAUAUUUUUUUAUUGCCCUUGUAGGCAGUCGAGCAUACAGCCCACUUGAUGGUGAGUGGUUGCCGUCGCACAUGAACUUUAGCAAUGCCAGAAAAGCCGCUGCCUAGCGUUAAGUACUCUCCACAAGCCUCGUUUGAAGAAGGACAUGUCAUAGCGCUCGGGAAACACCGUGGAGGGGAGCUCAUUUCAAAGCCGGACGGUACAUGAUAAAAAGGUCUCUGGAAACGCACAUCAUAUUUAAAACGGUUCAAACUUGAUUGUGCUAUCGUAAGAAUGAAUUAUUUCUUAAGUACCGCCCUCCGCUCUCACAUUGUGCAAUCCAUUGGCUUCCCGUUUCUGUUAAGUUCUUACCUAAAACCUAACCUUUAUUACAACAUACAUCUCAUUUAAGUUUCAUACUUCGCGAUAUUGAAGCGGCUGUCUCGUUGGCCACCGAUACUUUCAUUUACAUGUCCUAUUUCCUUAAAAGCUUUAAGAAUAGUGCAUUUUGACUGGUGAACAGUGUUUGGCCCAAA